rnacentral:lncRNA from 1 species
GUGCACGUGGUGUGCAGAUAGACCAUGCAGGCAAAAUGCCCACACACAGAUAAUUCUCAUAAUCAUCAAUAACAACAAUAAUUUGUUUUUAACAAUUAGCCAUUGUUAUAAUAAUUCAAAAUAGAACUUUAACCCAGUACAAAACACAUGUCACUUAACUAUAAAAAUAUACAGAGAGAAGGUGUCUCUAUCAAUGAAUGUCUUCUAUGAUUUUUAUUUCUUCAUGUUUUACUGUAUUAAUUUAAAGUUUGUUUUUCAAAGUUUAUUGUUAUUAACAAAAAUAGCAAACGGUGUCAUGUUGCCAAGAGAUACGUACCAACCAAAAAUAAUGUAAGAUGGCUGCUUCUUAGCUGGCCUUUAGGUCCAGUGACACUGCCUUAUCCCAUACAAAAGAGCUUCUUCACUCGAACGUCACUGCCACAUUCCGUAUUGAAAUGAAAGGACACCGGAAACAGACUGUCUGUAGAACAAGCAGACACGGGACCUGGCAAGUGAGAGGGUUGAUACUCACGACUUUCUCUUUGUGUUUUAGAUAGGAGCUCAGUGCUACUUGGAAUGCUCUGCCCUGACUCAGAAGGGUCUCAAAGCUGUUUUUGAUGAAGCCAUCCUCACCAUUUUCCACCCCAAGAAAAAAAAGAAAGGCUGCCACGGCUGCUGUGUAAUCAUCUGAAGUUGCCUGAGACCCGUCUCUCCGCCAUGCAAAGAGGGAAGCCAGUCUCUGAGAACCAACGCUAGCCGAAAGGAGGGCGUGACCAGAAAGGAAUUCCUGCAUCCUCAAAGCCUGUCCCCACACCCUGCCAAUUCCCCAGCUCAGUAUCCUGUAAGCCACUGCCACAGCCCCAAGCCAGCCAGACAUCCACACUGCGCAUGGAGAAAGCAGAGGCUCGUUCAAACCGCAGGCUGGCGAGGUGUUGGAAGCCGAGUGAAGAUCCGUCCAGUAUUUCACAUCUUCUCUCUCACGGUUAUGAACCAACCGGAAGUCAUGACGGGCAAACCAAGUACUCUCUGUCCUGAACCAAUGGCCUUAGUUCAUGUCUUCACCAACCUUGGGAAUACGACAACUUUUUUUUUUCUGAGUCUUUUACUCAAGCCCCUUGCCGUUCAUUUAUUUCUACUGCAGUUUCCUGUUGUCCAAUCACUUGAGCCUUACAAAUCCACAUCAAAAUAACCGAAAGACAAGCUGGAUUGUGUUUAUGCCAACUGACAGUGGCUCUCUGCCAAUGUUCUUAGAGCUGCCAUGUACCUCUGAAUGCCUAAUUACAAAAAAAAAAUUACAACUUUUAUAAACUGACAGACCCAUAAUGUUUUUAACCUUUUUAAAAGAAAGCAUCCUGUGAAUUAUUACAGCUCCCCGAGUUUGGCCAAAGAUCAACCUACAAAUGCUGCAGGUGAUAGGGGGUCUGCUCUUGCAAAGCCUUACUGUCAUUCAAAAACGGACUGUCGUGGAAGAAACCGUUUUCUACUCCUCCUCUAAACUGGUCAGGACAAUAAUAGAGCAAAGCUAUCUUCCCACUGCAGGAGAGUGAGCCUGACCCACCCUGUUCAUGUAGUAUCUUCACUUUUUCUCCUGUGCCCACUGUGUUCCCAGUCAAAGCUUGCCAAAAAAAAAAAAAAAAAAAAAAAGAGUUCCAGAAUCCUCCAGGGUCAAAGUGCCUCAACUUUCCUCCUUGCUUUAGGUGAAAGUGUUACUCAGCCCCAUACAAGCUUCCAUUAAGGACAGUUUCUAGUCUCAGCCAGUAUGGAAUCAUUGCCCCCUCUCUUUCUUUCCUCCAUACCCUCUCCCAAAUGUCCAUGGAGAAUGGGCUUAAGCGGUGAAGCCUGUCCACUGAGGACAUUUGGGAGAAGGGGUUUGGCCCUGAGUGGGAAAAGCUCCCAGCGAGGAAUCCUGCCCCUGACAGGACAGUUUCAAACAGCCAGGGACUCUCUAUGUUUUAAUUAGAAGCGGUGAUGGGCCCUGGUUAGCCUUACUUGCUUACAAAUGCCCAGGAAUUACCCAGGGAAACUGAUUUAUCAUUUUUUUAACUUUAUUCAUAUCUUAGCAAUAAGAAUUUAUUUUACUUUUUCUUGAUUGAAGCUCCCUCUGUUGGGGAAAAAAAAACUCUCAAUCUUUCUAGUCUUUUCUGCUCUUAGAAGAACCACAGAAGAAAAUGUAUGGUAUGGGUCUUCUUGAGUGUUUCCAUGACACCUCUUCAGUCUUUGGGGGGCUUGAUUGUUUGUCUGUUGUUUAGAAUUUCUGAAAUAUAUUUUUGCUUCUUCUA